CCCCUAGAUGUUCUGGGCCGCACGCGCGCUACACUGAACAGUUCAACAAGUCUUAACCUUGGCCGAUAGGUCUGGGUAAUCUUUGAACGCUGUUCGUGAUUGGGAUAGACCUUUGCAAUUAUGGGUCUUCAACGAGGAAUUCCUAGUAAACGCAAGUCAUCAGCUUGCAUUGAUUACGUCCCUGCCCUUUGUACACACCGCCCGUCGCUACUACCGAUUGAACGUUUUAGUGAGGUAUUUGGACUGGACCUUUGAAGGUUAAUUCCUUCAUUGUUGUUCGGGAAGACUCCCAAACUUGAGCGUUUAGAGGAAGUAAAAGUCGUAACA
rnacentral:rRNA from 1 species